CCUACGGGAGGCAGCAGUGGGGAAUAUUGGGCAAUGGGCGAAAGCCUGACCCAGCAACGCCGCGUGAAGGAAGAAGGCUCUCGGGUUGUAAACUUCUUUUGACAGGGAAGAGCAGAAGACGGUACCUGUCGAAUCAGCCACGGCUAACUACGUGCCAGCAGCCGCGGUAAUACGUAGGUGGCAAGCGUUUUCCGGAUUUACUGGGGGUAAAGGGCGUGUAGCCGGGCUGACAAGUCAGAUGUGAAAUCCGGGGGCUCAACCCCCGAACUGCAUUUGAAACUGUUGGUCUUGAGUAUCGGAGAGGCAGGCGGAAUUCCUAGUGUAGCGGUGAAAUGCGUAGAUAUUAGGAGGAACACCAGUGGCGAAGGCGGCCUGCUGGACGACAACUGACGGUGAGGCGCGAAAGCGUGGGGAGCAAACAGGAUUAGAUACCCCAGUAGUC
rnacentral:rRNA from 1 species